AAGUCGUAACAAGGUUUCCGUAGGUGAACCUGCGGAAGGAUCAUUAACACGUGGUUAUCCAUGUUCAACCCCUCGUGCUUUGGUGCGUUUGGCCUCAACCCUAUUUUGUGAAUGGAGAUUUUGUUAGGAUGAACUUGGUUUCCAAGGGAAUGGCUUGUGUAACAGUUGAGGUUGCGAAGUACAAGUAAUUUCGACAGUGAGAAGCUUUCCAUCCUAUUGCAGUUUCCAUUUAAAAGACAAUUGAUUCAAAAAAAACCCCGUAGUUAACUUAUUUCUAACUGAAAACUUAAUUGCUCUUUCUGACUUAACGGUUUGAAAUCAAUUAUUUUACGAAACAUUUGACAACUCUUAACAACGGAUAUCUUGGUUCUC
rnacentral:misc_RNA from 1 species